rnacentral:lncRNA from 1 species
GUCCCAUUGUUCCCAUGCCUUCUGCAUUAGAGUCUCUGAGGUUUUCCAUCAAUUGCAACUCAAGAUGCCCCAUGCCUUGAGGAGCAGCUCCUCUCCGGCACCACUCUCAGCCUGGUGUUGCUCAAGAGUAGACUGAUGGGGUGGACUACUGUGCACCGAUAAAUCACUGUCUGCCACACCCAGUACCUAAAUUCCUAAGAUGGAAAAAUAACUGCAGCACUGAGCACCAGUGACAGAAAAUAGGAAUUGAAGAAGAUAGCAAAGGAGAUGAGAGCCAGGAAAGUCCUGAUGUGUGCCUGGGCACUAGGAUGGCAAAAGCCCGAGACAGACAGAAAGGGCUUAUUGGUGUGUCUUCCGAGAGACAUGAUGAGCUAAAAUCCUACCAGUGAGGGAGACAACAGCAGGAACUGCCUAAGUAACGAAUUUUAAACAAAAGAAGUAGAAUUUCUCAUGUGAUCUCCUUAUAGGAUUCCUGAUGAUAUUCCAAUAUUGCAGACCUCUCCUUAAAAAGUUCUGAUAUUGGCUCUGGUUGCCUGUGAAAAAUAGGAUGGUGCUCAAGCUAGAGAACCCCAUGGAGCUGAGCAGCAUCAAGGGAACCAACCCAGACACCUUCUGUUUUAGCCAGAGGAAGACAGGGUGAGUGAAGGUUGAAAUUUUCCUGCAAUAGAGGACACUGAGCCAGGUAGAGAACCAAAAGGUGGUAGUGUUCAAGAAGUCCCACUAUAAGGCUAGAAACUAUAGUACAGGGUUGUAUGGAAGGGCCAGUGGACACACAAUUCUAGCGUAAAUGUUCUUACUCAUCACCACCCACUGCACAUAGAAGCAAGAGACUCCCAGGCUGACCAAUAACAUCACAAGGUGACAAUGUUCUCCAUAGUAACCACUCCAUGCCCAGUGCCACAGUGAUGAAGCCAUUGCCCAUCUCUGCCACCAGGCACAAAAGGAAUAAAAUGAUAGCCAAGGUGAUGGCUCUCCUAUCAAUCACCAACAUCCUGAAACCAUGUCAUGUCCAUUCAUCCUCCUGUGGACAAGAUGAGUCCCAAGACUUCAAGGGCUAUUCCGUGGCAAACAGUCCAGGGAGAAUUCAAGAGAAUGCCAGGGAUGCAUCAGAGGUCCAGGGCACCAAAUAUUGGACCAUCUACUUUAACC